UACGUAGGGUGCGAGCGUUGUUCGGAAUUACUGGGCGUAAAGAGCUCGUAGGUGGUUUGUCGCGUUGUUCGUGAAAACUCACAGCUUAACUGUGGGCGUGCGGGCGAUACGGGCAGACUGGAGUACUGCAGGGGAGACUGGAAUUCCUGGUGUAGCGGUGGAAUGCGCAGAUAUCUGGAGGAACACCGGUGGCGAAGGCGGCAUCCUGGACCGAUAUUGACGCUGAUGCGCGAAAGCCAGGGGAGCAAACGGG
rnacentral:rRNA from 1 species